rnacentral:misc_RNA from 1 species
AAAAAAGAAAAAAAAAAAGAAAAUGAUAGAGGAAAUGGGGCCUUCCUUCCAAAUAUAAAAAUAAGCUCUCUCUCUUUUUUAUUUUUCUUUCCUCUCUCUCCCUCUCUAUGUUUUCUUUGCCGUUUCCUUCCAUUCCUAUUUGAGAGCGAGAUAUUUUUGUGGACUCAUGUGCGUAUUGAGAGAGCCGGAGAGAUUGUGCUUCUAAAAUUUAGGGUUCUGUGUUGUAGUUUCUAGGGAACA